rnacentral:rRNA from 1 species
GUCCUACGGGGGGCAGCAGUGGGGGAUAUUGCACAAUGGGGGGAACCCUGAUGCAGCGACGCCGCAUGGGUGAAGAAGCGCCUCGGCGCGUAAAGCCCUGUCCGCAGGGAAGAAAAUGACGGUACCUGAAGAAGAAGCCCCGGCUAACUACGUGCCAGCAGCCGCGGUAAUACGUAGGGGGCAAGCGUUAUCCGGAUUUACUGGGCGUAAAGGGAGCGUAGGCGGAUUUUUAAGUGAGAUGUGAAAUACUCGGGCUCAACUUGAGUGCUGCAUUUCAAACUGGAAGUCUAGAGUGCAG